UGAAUUUCUAAAGAGUACUAUACGCAAUAUACAUGUAUAUCAAUGAUUUAAAUUUGUGUUUAAUAGGAGUUGUCCAGAUGGUUUGCACUGUCGUUUGUCUUGGAUUAGGUCAAGAACAGGGAGGCUGUGGCGGCCAUGCACAAAGAAGGCAUUGUGUUCAGUCUACAUGUGGACGAACACCACGACCUCAGCACCCCACCCCCAACCUCUCCUUCCUAGAGGUCAUCUGUGAGUUCACCAACAAACUGAUGAAGCAGGACAAGAAAGUUGUGCAAGUCAUUUCAUGCUCAGUCAGUUCAUCAGCUGUCUUGCUUCAGAGGUGUAGGUACAUGUAUCUGGUCGCUUACAUUGAGUUAACCGAGUUACAUUAUCUGGACAAGCACCUGCCCGGUGGGAUGAUGCCCCAGUCUCGGUCCGAGGAGUGGCAGUCCCUGUUCACCUACCGUAACAGUCUGUCCCAGGGAGACGGUGAGGUCCACCCAAUCACCCUCAAACAGGCCACCCAGAGACGCUACGCUAACAAACGCAAGCAGAUCGAUGUGUCUGACCACGACUCUAACAUGAGCGACUGGGUGGACAUGUCGGUAGGAACACCCGCCCCGGGGGUCCCUGUGAUGGCCUCGACCGCCAUCAAACGUCGUCGUAUGGACGAGGAGAGCGUGGGUGGGGCCUCGGAGCAGUCAGAGGACUUCCAGGAAUCGUACAUUGGUGGGGCCCCUCCCACACCCCACAUGUCAUGGAUGACUGCACAGAAAGGACAGACCGGUGCCCAGAGGCAGAUGGAGGCCGCGUACGGACACUACAGACAGGGCGGAAACUUACCUCCAAUGGAGACAGAAGGAAGUGAGGCCAGCAUCGGCGACUUUGAAAGUCCAAGGUCACAUGUCAUGCCUCCUGGUUACUAUGGUGACGGCACACAGAACAUUGAGGAUCCGUCUUCAGAAAUGAGUCACCAUGGAUACUAGAAGCAUCAGACCUUCACUUCCAACGUGUUUCCAUGGAAACCUGAUCUCACAGGAUGGAAAUAACCAUUAACAGGGAUGGAAAAUGUCAUAAAAUCCAUUAAGUUUAAUUUUAAUUUAUUUUUAAUGUAAUACUUAGAAGAAUGUACUUUCCAUUAUGUUUUUGAUGGAUUUUAAUUGUUAGAGAAUAGAAGGAAGGAAUAAUUCUUGGUGAAGUUAGAUGUAUUUGUGAUUCAGAAUAGUUGUGUGUUGUGAUUACAGCAGGGAUUGUUUGACCCCUGUUUGGAAUUA
rnacentral:sRNA from 1 species